UUGUUGCAGCAACUCACAAUCGCAUUCCUGCCCGUCAUGUCGAACAGCGGAGCGCUAAUUUCAGUUUGAGGUCUGCACUCUUACUACAAUGCAAAUGGUGACAGCAUCAGGCUGCACUCUGUUACAGUCGUGAAUCAUGGACCAAGACUGCACUCUUAGGCCCACUCCUUUUUGGUGGAUCGGGUCUUGCCAUCUUCACCUUUCGUGGCUUCCUGUCGUAAUUAAAUAAAUUGUCAUAUUUUUUUCUGA